GAUGAACGCUGGCGGCGUGCCUAAUACAUGCAAGUCGAGCGAAUGGAUUAAGAGCUUGCUCUUAUGAAGUUAGCGGCGGACGGGUGAGUAACACGUGGGUAACCUGCCCAUAAGACUGGGAUAACUCCGGGAAACCGGGGCUAAUACCGGAUAACAUUUUGAACCGCAUGGUUCGAAAUUGAAAGGCGGCUUCGGCUGUCACUUAUGGACGGACCCGCGUCGCAUUAGCUAGUUGGUGAGGUAACGGCUCACCAAGGCAACGAUGCGUAGCCAAACUGAGAGGGUGAUCGGCCACACUGAGACUGAGACACGGCCCAGACUCCUACGGGAGGCAGCAGUAGGGAAUCUUCCGCAAUGGACGAAAGUCUGACGGAGCAACGCCGCGUGAGUGAUGAAGGCUUUCGGGUCGUAAAACUCUGUUGUUAGGGAAGAACAAGUGCUAGUUGAAUAAGCUGACACCUUGACGGUACCUAACCAGAAAGCCACGGCUAACUACGUGCCAGCCGCCGCAGUAA
rnacentral:rRNA from 1 species